rnacentral:misc_RNA from 1 species
UGGUAAUAUAAUUUCCUAUUUUCUUCCUUGUGAAUUUAGACAAUACAUAGGCUGUUCCUGGACUUUGCAAGACCCUUAUGCUAUUAACUGGCCCCUACCUGUUUAUGCUUGGCAUCAAAAUUUACAAGCAAUCUAGAAUGGUCGCUAUUUAAUAUUUUGAAUGCAUACAGAUAUUUUGAGUUGACCGAGUCUUAUUCUUGGAGGGGCUUGUUGUAUAGUGA